GGAACCGUGCCCGAACGCCCAGGGACCACUUUGAUAGAGUGGCUCAUAGGGGUUAAAGUCCCCUCGGUUCUU
rnacentral:tRNA from 1 species